rnacentral:rRNA from 1 species
GACGAACCGUGCGAACGUUAUUCGGAAUCACUGGGCUUAAAGCGCGUGUAGGCGGAAGGGCACGUCUGUUGCUGAAAUCCCACGGCUCACCCGUGGAACUGCUGGGUAUACUGCGAGUCUUGAGCCACUUAGGGGCUGUCGGAACAGGCGGUGGAGCGGUGAAAUGCGUAGAUAUCGCCUGGAACGCCAAAGGUGAAAACAGACAGCUGGGAGUGUGCUGACGCUGAGACACGAAAGCCAGGGGAGCGAACGGG